GAGGGUGGGGUAGGAAACCUGCCAUUUAAGAAAAAAACAAAAUUUAAAACCCCAGGAAAUGGGGGGAAAAAAAUCAGUGCACAAGAAUCGGGCUUAAGCCCAGAACCACACUGAAGUGGGCUCAGUGGUUUUUGGAGUGAAGAAGCCUUACUCCCCGCACAUUCCCUUAUGCUCCCAUCCGAGUCCAGCCAUGGAGAUGCUCGGGUUCCUCUGACUUUAGUAAGAGGACUCAGGAGUCGACCAAGGAAAACUGUUUGGCCCUGUGAGGAAUGGCACUCAGUGUCUGUCCUGAAUGGAGCCUAGUCAGGAAGUGGUCUGGAAAUAAAUGGUCAUGGUCACCUUAUGAAGAUGUGUGGCAGGUGGCUCUCAGGAAAAAUACUAAGUCUGGAUCAUCCAUAUGGCAGCUUUGCGUAGGGAAAUGACAACUCCGAACUGGAACUGACCUGCCUUCCAUGUUGCUUGACCAAAGCAGUGAUGAGGGUGGCCAGUAUAUGUAGUGUGAGUGGUAGGUUUAAAGAGAAGGGAAUGUUUUCUGCUCAGUGUUUCCUUUGUCCUUGGACUGCUCAAGCUGAACAGUAACCACUGUUUUUAAGGGACCAGCCCACUGUGGCUGGUUUGGUUCGGAGUUCGUUUCAUCCCUAGCUGUGAGUGCCUUUCGGUCUGGAAAGUUGGCUUGUC
rnacentral:lncRNA from 1 species